UGCCAGCAGCCGCGGUAACACGGGGGGCGCAAGCGUUAUUCGGAAUUAUUGGGCGUAAAGGGCGCGUAGGCGGUUUGGCAAGUCUGAUGUGAAAGCCCACGACUUAAUCGUGGAAGUGCAUUGGAUACUGCCAGGCUAGAGUACAGGAGGGGUGAGCGGAAUUCCAGGUGUAGAGGUGAAAUUCGUAGAUAUCUGGAGGAACAACGGAGGCGAAGGCGGCUCACUGGACUGUUACUGACGCUGAUGCGCGAAAGCGUGGGGAGCAAACGGGAUUAGAUA
rnacentral:rRNA from 1 species